rnacentral:rRNA from 1 species
CCUACGGUGAGGCUGCAGUGGGGAAUAUUGGACAAUGGGCGAAAGCCUGAUCCAGCCAUGCCGCGUGUGUGAAGAAGGCCUUCGGGUUGUAAAGCACUUUCAGUGGGGAAGAAAGCCUUGGGGCUAAUACCCUCGAGGAAGGACAUCACCCACAGAAGAAGCACCGGCUAACUCCGUGCCAGCAGCCGCGGUAAUACGGAGGGUGCGAGCGUUAAUCGGAAUUACUGGGCGUAAAGCGCGCGUAGGCGGUCUGAUAAGCCGGUUGUGAAAGCCCCGGGCUCAACCUGGGAACGGCAUCCGGAACUGUCAGGCUAGAGUGCAGGAGAGGAAGGUAGAAUUCCCGGUGUAGCGGUGAAAUGCGUAGAGAUCGGGAGGAAUACCAGUGGCGAAGGCGGCCUUCUGGACUGAAACGGACGCUGAGGUGCGAAAGCGUGGGUAGCAAACAGGAUUAGAUACCCUAGUAGUC